rnacentral:rRNA from 2 species
AGAGUUUGAUCAUGGCUCAGAUUGAACGCUGGCGGCAGGCCUAACACAUGCAAGUCGAGCGGUAGCACAGAGAGCUUGCUCUCGGGUGACGAGCGGCGGACGGGUGAGUAAUGUCUGGGAAACUGCCUGAUGGAGGGGGAUAACUACUGGAAACGGUAGCUAAUACCGCAUAACGUCGCAAGACCAAAGUGGGGGACCUUCGGGCCUCAUGCCAUCAGAUGUGCCCAGAUGGGAUUAGCUAGUAGGUGGGGUAACGGCUCACCUAGGCGACGAUCCCUAGCUGGUCUGAGAGGAUGACCAGCCACACUGGAACUGAGACACGGUCCAGACUCCUACGGGAGGCAGCAGUGGGGAAUAUUGCACAAUGGGCGCAAGCCUGAUGCAGCCAUGCCGCGUGUGUGAAGAAGGCCUUCGGGUUGUAAAGCACUUUCAGCGGGGAGGAAGGCGUUAAGGUUAAUAACCUCAUCGAUUGACGUUACCCGCAGAAGAAGCACCGGCUAACUCCGUGCCAGCAGCCGCGGUAAUACGGAGGGUGCAAGCGUUAAUCGGAAUUACUGGGCGUAAAGCGCACGCAGGCGGUCUGUCAAGUCGGAUGUGAAAUCCCCGGGCUUAACCUGGGAACUGCAUUCGAAACUGGCAGGCUAGAGUCUUGUAGAGGGGGGUAGAAUUCCAGGUGUAGCGGUGAAAUGCGUAGAGAUCUGGAGGAAUACCGGUGGCGAAGGCGGCCCCCUGGACAAAGACUGACGCUCAGGUGCGAAAGCGUGGGGAGCAAACAGGAUUAGAUACCCUGGUAGUCCACGCCGUAAACGAUGUCGAUUUGGAGGUUGUGCCCUUGAGGCGUGGCUUCCGGAGCUAACGCGUUAAAUCGACCGCCUGGGGAGUACGGCCGCAAGGUUAAAACUCAAAUGAAUUGACGGGGGCCCGCACAAGCGGUGGAGCAUGUGGUUUAAUUCGAUGCAACGCGAAGAACCUUACCUGGUCUUGACAUCCACAGAACUUUCCAGAGAUGGAUUGGUGCCUUCGGGAACUGUGAGACAGGUGCUGCAUGGCUGUCGUCAGCUCGUGUUGUGAAAUGUUGGGUUAAGUCCCGCAACGAGCGCAACCCUUAUCCUUUGUUGCCAGCGGUCCGGCCGGGAACUCAAAGGAGACUGCCAGUGAUAAACUGGAGGAAGGUGGGGAUGACGUCAAGUCAUCAUGGCCCUUACGACCAGGGCUACACACGUGCUACAAUGGCAUAUACAAAGAGAAGCGACCUCGCGAGAGCAAGCGGACCUCAUAAAGUAUGUCGUAGUCCGGAUUGGAGUCUGCAACUCGACUCCAUGAAGUCGGAAUCGCUAGUAAUCGUAGAUCAGAAUGCUACGGUGAAUACGUUCCCGGGCCUUGUACACACCGCCCGUCACACCAUGGGAGUGGGUUGCAAAAGAAGUAGGUAGCUUAACCUUCGGGAGGGCGCUUACCACUUUGUGAUUCAUGACUGGGGUGAAGUCGUAACAAGGUAACCGUAGGGGAACCUGCGGUUGGAUCACCU